CCUACGGGAGGCAGCAGUGGGGAAUAUUGCACAAUGGGGGAAACCCUGAUGCAGCGACGCCGCGUGAAGGAAGAAGUACUUCGGUAUGUAAAACUCUAUCAGCAGGGAAGAAAAUGACGGUACCUGACUAAGAAGCCCCGGCUAACUACGUGCCAGCAGCCGCGGGAAUACGUAGGGGGCAAGCGUUAUCCGGAUGUACUGGGUGGAAAGGGAGCGUAGGCGGUUUAGCAAGUCAGAAGUGAAAGCCCGGGGCUCAACUGCGGGACUGCUUUUGAAACUGUUGCACUAGAGUGCAGGAGAGGUAAGUGGAAUUCCUAGUGUAGCGGUGAAAUGCGUAGAUAUUAGGAGGAACACCAGUGGCGAAGGCGGCUUACUGGACUGUAAAUGACGCUGAGGCUCGAAAGCGUGGGGAGCAAACAGGAUUAGAUACCCGGGUAGUC
rnacentral:rRNA from 1 species